AUUGAACGCUGGCGGCAGGCCUAACACAUGCAAGUCGAGCGGAUGAAGGGAGCUUGCUCCUGGAUUCAGCGGCGGACGGGUGAGUAAUGCCUAGGAAUCUGCCUGGUAGUGGGGGAUAACGUCCGGAAACGGGCGCUAAUACCGCAUACGUCCUGAGGGAGAAAGUGGGGGAUCUUCGGACCUCACGCUAUCAGAUGAGCCUAGGUCGGAUUAGCUAGUUGGUGGGGUAAAGGCCUACCAAGGCGACGAUCCGUAACUGGUCUGAGAGGAUGAUCAGUCACACUGGAACUUAGACACGGUCCAGAAUCCUACGGGAGGCAGCAGUGGGGAAUAUUGGACAAUGGGCGAAAGCCUGAUCCAGCCAUGCCGCGGGUGUGAAGAAGGUCUUCGGAUUGUAAAGCACUUUAAGUUGGGAGGAAGGGCAGUAAGUUAAUACCUUGCUGUUUUGACGUUACCAACAGAAUAAGCACCGGCUAACUUCGUG
rnacentral:rRNA from 1 species